rnacentral:rRNA from 1 species
AUGUUGGAGACGUAUCAGGCGACCCUCAAAUGUAAACUAUUUUCCUGGCUUGUGGUGCAACAUCGUAUCUGGACGUCUGAUAGGAGAGCGAGGCAUGGCCUGCAGGAGUUGCCUUCGGCUUGCUACACGUGUCUCCAAGAGGAGGACAACGCAGAACACAUCUUGGUGCAGUGUGUGUAUGCCAGGGAAGUGUGGCACACUAUCUGGAACAUGAUGGGUCUACAGGGGCGUCCUCCAGAGGUGCAUGACAGUUUGUUGGAUUGGUGGCUGGAGGGUAGGAGCACCCUUAGGAGGAGUUGGAAGCGUGGCUUUGACACCCUUGUCAUCGCCACAAUCUGGGCUAUUUGGAAACAACGUAAUGCGAGAGUGUUCAAUAGGACUGGCCAACAGCUACAGGCGCAUGGGCUGUCCAUUGCCAUUUUGGAUGAGCUCAAGGAGUGGAAGGAGGCUGGUCUAGGUGGAGGAGGGUUCACUACGUUUUGUGUAAACGUAGGAAUAGGAUAA